rnacentral:lncRNA from 1 species
UACUCUGUCUGACCUCUCAACCAGUCUUUAUUCCAAGCAUUAAAAUAAAUAUAUUUAUCAUUCAGCCAUCCACUGUGAAAUUUUCCCAUCACUCGGUUUUCUCAUUUUCCAGGGCAAACUUUUCAAUACCCGAGAGAAAGCAAUUGAAGUAGAACUGCACCAAAGUGCAUUUCCAAUGUGAUGCAGCAGAAAUAAUGUUCAAUGAAAUUAUUCUGUUAGUAGCGCCUGUGAAGCCAAGCUGAAUACUCUAUGCUUUACAGUGAGCAUUUGACAUUCAUUCUUUUUUUUCAGUCCUGGAACCUUCAUUCUUUGUUUUAUUCCUUACUAUAUAUUUUCCAAAUAAAUAUGCACUCUCUAGAAUGAUUUCCAAAUAUUAACCUAGACAGUGAGCCAAAGAAUAUACAAUAGUCAGAGCUGAGAAUAUGACAAAUUCUCUGCCAAACUAUGUAGUAGGAGAGGUUUAUUUGGGGCUCUCUCACCCUCCCCAUCACCCAGCAAAUAUUGUGGACUCUGUUUAGGGUACCAUACCUGAUAUUGUGAUGAAUGGAAUAAGGGCGGAGACACAGAGUUCUCCUCCUACCCCUCAAAACAAGAAUACAUUAACAUCAAUUCCUUCAACUUUCAUGUGUAUUUCAGUGAGAGAGUUACCUCUUCUCAAAUUUUACUUCUGCAAGGAAGCCUUCCCUGAAUGUUAUAGCAGAGCUCACUGCUUACUUCCCCGGCUUGCAAACAGUUACCACCAUCAAACUAUAUAACAUUUCCUUGUCUCCUACAUAUGGCAUAAGCUCUGGAACUCGACGGCAGAUGGGAGCUGAAGGGCCCUGAGGAGACUCUGGAAGUCUAGUAGGCUUCUAGGAAGCUUUCAGGACAGCAAAGAAAACGCUGUUAACAUCUUGAGUAAAGGAGAUCCUGAUAACGUAGUGGCGGAAAGUAGGCAAAACUGUCAUCUGUAGCAACAUGGAAAAAGGCAAAAUGUUCCUAAAAAUUCAGUGCUGUAGCUAAGCUGAUUUCUAGGCAGAGGGCUGAAGGUGCUGUCUGGCUUCUUCUAGCUGCCU